GCCCUGCAAAGCUACAAGGAACUUAAUUUCAAUGUCUACUCUAUUUGAUUUGCUCUCUUUUUCUAUUAAUUUACAUGUAAAUUAAUAUUUACAAUUUCUCAGAUUUUAUUAUUUAAUUAUUGCUUUGUAAUUUUAAUUACGAUAAAGGACUAUUACAAAUCUCUACAGGUUUUUUUAUUGAAGGCUUAAUUCUAACUUUCAUUAAAGUUUUUGUCAGUUCAAAACUUUCAAAACAAAACAAAUGAUGAAUAUAAUAUUAAAUUUACAAAUAAUAUGCUGGAUAUAAUGUUCAUUUCAUGUUGAAUGAUUAAUUAAUAAAAUUUUUAUACUUUCUAAAUUUUUAUUACUAUUUUAUUACUACAAAUGUUUAUUCAAACAUUGUAAAUGAAUAAAAUGAUAUACAUUGUUUCAUAUUGAUAUAUUGUAUGUUUAAGGGGAAGUGUGGAGACCAUGGGCAGAUUUACUGUGGGGUUAGGGGGGCAUUAAACCCCCAAUAGAAUCUCUCUAACCCCUCUUAUAAAGUGUUCAACCCCACCAAAAUUUCGCUUCACUCCUCCUAUUUAGUGUGUAACCCUAACGCCUAACCCCUGUAAAAAGCUCGCUCAGUCAGUGCUGCUUGUAGCCCGUGUGCAGGCCCAAGGGAGCAGGCUCAAGGGAACUUGAUAGUGGUCCCUAGCUGCUCCCUUGGGCCUGCACGCGGGCUAUGCUGCUUGCAACCCACUAGAAAUUUUUCCACCCCUCCUUUAAAAAAAAUGAAAAUCUGCCCUUGGUAGAGACUAAAAGGAAGGGCUUGAAAUUUUCAGCACUAUCCAGUGGGAUACUAGAAACUUGAGAUCUGAUAGCCAUCCCAAAAACCUAGUAUCCAAACACUGAAACAAGGCAAACUGAGUUUUUAUAAAUUGUAAUGAAUUUUAUAAUAUACUGAAUCUAAGGUAUGGUAUAAAAGGAUCGUAACUGAUAGAGAAACAUCUGUGGAGGAGAGAAAUUUGUACCCAAUUGUUACUGAGUUUGUCAUGUCCAAUAUCUAAAUUUAAAAUCAAAAUUUUGUAUUCCAUG